CACCCGAUGGCUGAAUUCUAAGCGUAGGUCUUUUAAACCUAAGAUAGUAUAAUUACUUCAGGUGA
rnacentral:tRNA from 1 species